CUACAAAGGAGGACACCAAGGAAAGUUCUAAUUGGGACAAGCCUCUGGAGCUGCCUAGUGUGGGUGUCUGCUGGAAACUUCUAAAAUGUCUCGGCCUAUUUAAUUGGAGAAUUCACUGAAGAAUUAAAGGACUCAGUAAAGAAGAGGUUUGGUUUGUUCAUGAAAGUAAGUAGCUUGUGAAAUGCUUUAUUUUCCUGUGACUAAAAUUCCACCUUGUAAUUCCCAAUAAGGAUUGCUUCAAGCUAUUUAAUACAAAUUAAACCUGUUUCACCAUGCUCAUAGGAAAAUGUCAAAGUAUCUUCAUUCACCAACUGAGGGCUGGCUCUUCUUUGAAGGUAGCUCUGAGAUUUGUUUUGUAAUGGAGACAAAGACUUAUUUAACUGUUGGGGAGGGGGAAGGAGGACUUAGGCCAGGCAGGCGGGGAUGUGGGGGACGAACCAUGAGGGGCAAUUUGGCUGCCUCUGAAAAGGUCCAGAGCUACCUUAAAAGACAGGCUUUCUAUAACAAGUGGUCCUUUCUUUUCCUUUCUUUUUUUUUUUGAGACAGAG
rnacentral:lncRNA from 1 species